AAGAAAUAUUUACAGUAAUUUUCCUAAUUGGAGGCAUGAUUUCAUCACUGUGUGAUGCUGCUUUGAGUAACAUAUACGUUCCUAGCAAUAGAUUGUGGGCUGAGAAUAACAACCUUCUCUCUUCGACUGUGCUGUGAAAAGGGCGGGAAUGGUUUACAUCAGGAAGAUUCAUAAAGACUGGGACAAAGAAGAAUUGAUCCUGUGGACAUUUAGGUGCUUGUCCUUUGUUGCAAGUAAAGUUUAGCUGUACAGCUUUGUCAUCUUGGGCAUCAGUUUUACAUCAAGCAGCAGGAAGAAGAAAGCAUAAAAAUCAAAAUGACCUGAAAAAUGCCUUUCAAGCUGAUUUACGGAAUACGAUAUAUUACUGAAAAAGAUCUGCUUCCUUUGAUGUUAUCCAACCCACCAUACUGUGCAUAGUUUAUGGAUACGAGAGACUGAUACUGUCACUGAAGUUGAGAUAACACAGUUUGCAAAGGAGCUAAGAAAAAUGCCCUUGAAAAUCAGGUAAGGUCAAAGACCUACAUGCUUCAGGCCUUGAUUUCUGCAGGAGGGCUCCAGCUAGAUGCUUAGUUUUCCUGCAACAUAACAAAUCCCUGUUAUUUGCAAGGA